rnacentral:misc_RNA from 1 species
UUCCUUCCAAUUUCUCUGCUUCAUGACAUGCAAGGACAUGACAUUUGAGGAGACAAUGAUGAUAUGAGAAACCCCCUAAUGUCCUUUUGAUGGACAUAGAAGCACAUCUCACAUGUGUAGCCAAGUUCUAUAGUACAGCUCCUGAAGAGAUUGGAAUCCUGAAUUUUAUGCAAUAAAUUUUGGCAAUCAAUAAAACUUGGCAUUGGAAUACUUAUAGUUUGGAAAAAG